rnacentral:tRNA from 1 species
UCCCUGGUAGUCCAGUGGUUAGGAUUUGGCGCUUUCACUGCUGGGGUCCAGGUUCCAUCCCUGGUAAGGGAA